CAUGUUCAACAUAGCGUUAAUGCACUAGAUCCCAUUAGAAAUCCACAAUUAAGUGCACUCAGGCUAGAGUAGUAUUGGGAUGGGUGCCUGGGAAGUCCUAGUAUUUUACAUGC
rfam:Picea glauca, whole genome shotgun sequence.